rnacentral:rRNA from 1 species
GACAGAGGGGACAAGCGUUGCUCGGAAUUACUGGGCGUAAAGGGCGCGUAGGCGGGAUGGCAAGUCGGUCGUGAAAUCCCUCGGCUCAACUGAGGAUCGUCGAUCGAUACUGCCGUUCUUGAGGAUUGCAGAGGAGACUGGAAUUCCCGGUGUAGCGGUGAAAUGUGUAGAGAUCGGGAGGAACACCGGUGGCGAAGGCGGGUCUCUGGGCAAUUCCUGACGCUGAGGCGCGAAAAGCGUGGGGGAGCAAACGGG